GCUAGAUAUAGGUUCCUCAUGUUUUAUCUUCUUUGGAUUGAAAGGUGAUUGAAAAACUAGGAUAACAGGCAAAUCUAUAGGAAGGUGAUAUUUGGUGAACCUAGUAGGGAGAAUGACCUGAAAGGGUUCUUGAAGAUUAUUUAAAUGCUUAAAAACGUAGACCUUCUCUGUAAAUUAGGAAGUACAAAUGCUUUUCUUUCCUUCACUCCAUGUAAAGAAAACUUGGCUCUAAAAUUAAGAAAAUUAAUCUGGGCGAGAAGGCUCAUUUUGGAAUGAUGGUGUCAUCAUAUUUAAGUGAUUCCUAGAGUUAUGGUUUCUGCUGUUUAGGGAAUUUUCCCUUAUUCAGUUAAUUUGGUGAGAGCCUUUUUUUGAGGUGGGAGAUUCUGGCCUGGCUGUAACUUGUGCUAAAGGACCCUCCAGCACCUUGGCGUUCUCUGUCUUGGGCGAGCUCCGCUGCCAGCUUUCUCAGCACCAUUACCUUGGCGAGACAAGUGCUGAGCUAGCUGGUGGUCUGGUCGGGUGUGAACACCAGGAGAACAGUACCGAUCUGUUGCAAAAGCCGUGUGACACCAAUGUGUAUGUUUUGAAUUCUAGAGAGCAAGAACGUGGUAGUGGGGAAUUUGCCAGUUAACCCUGAUCGUAGUGAUUUAUAGCCAGAGUUUAUGAGAUGAGCUGAAAGGUAGUAUACCUGUUCUCUACAACUGCUGUUUCUGGAAAAAGUAAUUUUUUUUUUUUUUUUUUGUAGAAGAUGAGACCUAUUCCUCUUUCUAGUUGGAUGAGUUAUUUGAAUGACCUCUUUCCCCAGCUGGUGGCACUAAAUUCGUUCCAUUUAAUUCAACAAUUUAUUCCAUCUCUGUUUGCAAUGCAUCAUGGCAGACUAUGAUUUAGAUUACAGUUUUUAAUAUGAUCUAGAAAGGAAGAAAGACAGGUACUUAAAUAAUUCUGAUACAAGUUAGCGCUAUCAUCACCUUGAAAGCUUUAAUAAAGGACUGCAGGCUUAGCUGUUGAUGAGGGUGGAAUUGGAUUGGAAGCUUUUCUCUUUUUUUUUUUUUUUUUUGAAACAGAGUUUGACCUGUAUUCCUAAACAAUGUGCUUUCAUUGUGAUGGCUGUUGUUCAUGGAGAGAGGCAGCAUAUUCUAUACCUUCUUUUCAUUUUCCACUUCUCUGCGCCCUCCUUCUAGGUAUCCUGUAUGUUUUAUGCAAGUGGCCGUUCUUACUCUUGAAGAAGGUAUUAGCUGUCCAACCCUAAAACAGAGGAGAUUAAUGCCUCUCCUGGUACCUUGGCUUCCCAAGGCCAGACAUGAGCCAUCGGGAUGUCUAUGCUGCAGUUAGGAGCAGCAGCUCCCUGCCUAGAAGAUGGCAAAGGAUAACAGGCUUAUUUAUGGCAUGGAACUGCUUCCUGCUUCUUCCCCUGAAUAAACUCUCAGUAUAUGGCUUGACCCCCGGUCCCCGUCAGGGAAUUAGGGAGAAAGCAAUUUUAUAGAACAAAUUUCAAUUGGCAGUGCUGAUGGAGAAGACUUUCUGGGAAUUGCCUGAAUCCAGAGAUGGUUUGCAAACAAAGUUGCAGUCCGUAGUAUUUGUAUCAAUUUUGAUUUACGUUGCUAAUUAACGGUAAUGUAUAUUUAUAUGUGUAGAAAAUCAAAUUGUUUCAAUUAUCAAGCCUCAGGAAUGCAACUCUGAAAGCUUUACUUAAAACCACCAUGCAGCUGUGGCAAUCAUUUCAGAAAUAAUUCUUCUAGUCUCAUUACAUUUAUUUUGGGGGUUGACUUUUUUUUUUUAUUAAGUUUGUCAAAGUCACUUUAUAGAUAGAUGCUUAAUAGUUUUGUUUGUUGCUCGGCUUUUGGUGAGUGUGUGACUGAACGCUUUCUAGUAAUUUUGAAAUAGUCUCAUUUGUCAUAUUUUUGUGUGAACUUUAGAAAUCAAUACAUCAAGUUAUGAAUUUUAGGUUGAUCUUUUUUUCCUUGAGGUUUCCUUUCUUUCCUUUUCUGUUCUUUUCUAUCCUUUUCCCUUUCCAGCCUCACUCUUUCCUCCCUUUCUCACUUCAUCCUUUCUUGCCCUCCUCUCUCUCUUCCCUACUUCAUUUUUGUUGAUGAUGGAAGUGAUUAUAAAUAGCGAGCGGUUAUGUCUCAAUAAGUUAAUACAUGGUUGAAUUAUUGAUUGAUUCUUAUGAGGACCUAUGUUUCAGAAGUCAAACAGAUGAAUCACCAUUCUGAAAAAAUUCAUUAGUUAUUGAGAAUUUUCUUCUCUCUUUUCAUGAAUGAGUGCUUUUUUUAUGUGUGACUUAAAUUGUUGAAAUGAGACUACGGCCAAAAAAAAAAAAAAAAGAAUCAGUUUCCAGUUAUAGUUCCUUGGAAUAACACAUGUGGUUCCAUCACCAUGUGCUGAUUUUUUAAAAACUUUAUUUCAACCAUCCAGUUUGUUUCAUGAAGCAUCAUCUAGUGAAAGUGAGGUAAUUACUAGCUGGGAUGUGCUCAACUGAAUUGUCCCUGCAUGCACCUAGUAGAGAAACCAGCUUCCUGGAUUUAUGUCUACAUGCCAGCAUUUUCUCUCUCUUUUCUCUUACUGGAAGGUCAUUAAAAAUACAUUUGUAAGCUCUGGGAUUUCAGAUCUUUGCUGUAAAGACUUGGGACUCAGUCUGAGGGAUUCCAAGGCCUCCUCCUUUUUGUCAAAUCAGAAGUCUAGCCACAGCAUUCUUUUCCACAACACAAGAUAUGUGAAUAAAAGUCGAUGGAUGAGAGCAAGAAAGAAACAUUCCUAGUCUCUCAUUUAUUGAAAAACAAAUCUCUCUUUCUAGUACUUACUAUUUUCUGGCCACCCAGACAUGGGUGUGAGUGACAGAUGUGUAGUAAUGAGAGGAAUCCUGGUAUUUCUAGUCUGGCAGUGUUGACUCAAGACCCCACACGAGUAUCUUCUCAUGGCUUAUUCAUGUAGGAUGUCAUCAGGUCCAUGGCAGACUUUCAUAAAGCAUGCAUGCAAAAAUAAGCUUACCCAAGAAAACAUGGUUAUUAUAGAAAAGCAUGUUUGCAUCACUAGGUGGCAGAAAUAAAUGGAGUUAUUGUGUUGAAUAUUCUUGAUAAUAAAUACAAAUUCUGCAUUAUAUAUCAUGGGUACCUUGCUUACAAAUAUUUGAGAACUUUUUUAUUUUCUGUGGGAUAGAUUGCAAUAGAAGAUUGCAUGGAAGUUAAGUAAAAAGUGGCAUAAAUGGAAUCCAGACAAAUUACCCAUACCUCAUAGUAAGGAAGUAUGCCAAAUACUGUAAUCCAUCUUUGGAUUACUAUACACCAACAUUGUGAGUCCUUGGGCAUAUGCAAAUAUUUGCCUGAUGUGGAAUUGUGUAAUAAAAUCAUUAUUAGUCAAAGUUUCACAGAAUUAUUAUAUUUUCAGCUGUGGAAAAAAUUAUAUAUCCAAGUAUACUGCGGUAAAAUCAAAGAUUCAUUGCUUUUGCAUUUAAAGCCAAAUAGAAUUAUAGUUUAAUAUUUGCAUGUGCCAAACAAAGCUGAGAAACAUAUAAAAAAUUAGUCCUUUACUUUGUAAAUGUGUUCAUAAAUCAGCUUUAGUCACAAAUCUCAGAGACUAAUUUCAACCUCUAUAGCCAAUAAAAGCAGGUGGCAAUGAGGGUAUAGUUUCAGGUACAGCUGGAUCUAGGAACUCAAACAAAAUCAUGACUAAUUUUUCUCUUUUCCUGCUUGCCUUAUCCUAUCCUCCUUUCCUUUUCUUUGUUCGUGACCCUGAAUGCUAUUGCUUUGCUUUGGGAUUAGGCUUGUUCUCCCUAUAUGCUGGGUAAGAAUGGAGUUUAGCAUUCUUAAAUGUAUCUCAUUCUUUUAUUUUUGAGAAGGAAAAGAUACACACACACACACACACACAUAUCAUAAACAAUGGUAGUAACCUGAUUAUCUUUGCUUGGGUAAUAGAUCCUGCCCCCUUAUGGGCACAUAAAAAUUUAGAGGGGCUGGUGCAUAUUUUAUUGUUCAAGUAUAUGUCAUAUGCCCACUCUCACAGGCAGGAAGCAGAAUGCUGUUGCUAUUUACUAUAUCCAGGAAUAUUGAAAAUACUUUUUUCUAUCACAUUGUUUUGUAAAACUAAAAGGAUUAAAUCUAUGAGGUUCAUAAGCUGUUUAUGGAUAACAUACUUACUAAAAGCCACUUAGGAAUUAUGCAGAAUUGACCCUGGGUUGCCUUUGCCAACGAAUAAGUUUUUUUUCACAGAGUAACAUUUUGGGGACACUGUCAGAAGUAGCAAUAUAGACACUUGAUUUUUUUUGCUUGAGAUGCAUGCUUGGGAAUUCUGCCUUAAUUUCAUUUAUCCAUUCAUUCACUCAGGAAAUACCUAGUGAAUACUUACCAUUAGACUGGGAAUCACAAGUGAUCAAGGCCCCUACUCAAAUGUCACCUUCUUAGUGAUGCUUUUCCUGCCUCCUCUACUGGCAACCAGAAUCCCUCUUCUCUGCCUUGCCACAUCCACUUUCCCUUUCCCUGAUUUUUUUGUCUGCAAAGCAGUCACUGCCAUCAGAUUAUAUUUUACUUUACAUCUCUCCCGAUUAGGAAUAUAAACUCCCUUAGGUCAGAUAUUUUUACUUAUUUUGUCAUUGGUUGUAUCAUCAGUAUCGAGAACUGUGUCUGGCACAAAGGGACAGUAAAUGUUGUAUUGAAGGAAUAGAUGAGGUCCUGGCUAUCAUUUCCAUUCUGUUUCUGUCCCUAAAAAUGGAUACUAGGUAUGCUACGUAUUGUACAUGCUAAACUUUUUCUAAGCAGCAAAGCAAAGCAAUCUAAAUUCAAGAAUGGCCAUGGACAUCCUAAUUUGGAUUAGAUGGUCAAAGACGCCUUGGAGAGGAGGUGACUUUUAGACCUGAAUGAGAAGCAGGCACUGUGCAGGCUUAUAUCUAGGAGAAGAGACUUUGCAGUAGAGCAAACAGGUGAAAAGAGCUCAGAGGUGGGAUUGUGUCUGGGCUAGUCAAGGAGCAGCCAGAUGGCCAAGGAAGCUAGAGUGGGCAGUGGAGAAUGGGAGGAAGAAAGGUGAUGUAUACAGAGCUCAGAACCAGCCUCACAGUUAAGAUGGGAUUUUUGUUCUCAGUAGGAAGAGAAGCCUUGCAAGGUUUUUUAAGCAGAGAGGUGACAUGAUCUGAACUAUGCUUUUCAAAAAUUGCCUGGACUAUUGUUUGUCAGCCAAGAAGGAAGACCAGUUGGAGGCCAUUGUAAGAGUCCAGGUAGACGCCAGAGGCUUUGGACUGAGUAACAGCGAUGCAGGUGUGAAGGUAGACAGACUCUGGGCCUAUUUCAAAGGUUGAGUCAAAGAAAAUUGCCAAUCGAUUGGAUGUGAAAUGAUAGAAAGAGGCAUUCUAGAUGAUUUAAGGUUUGAUUUGACCUUUUCAUUUGAAUGAUUGUAUAAACUCACCAAAUCUGUUAACCCUUGAGACUAGUGAAUUUUGUUAAAGUCCAUGAUAUAGUUACAAUUGAAAAAAAAAACUUUGAGGAAAUAAGUCCUAUUUUGUAAUAUUUGUAAUAUGAGACGCAUAGCUAAAAUGACAUAUAUAGCUAUUGAGGGGAGAAGAUAAAUUCUAGGGCUUUGCAGCUUGAAUAGUUGAUGACAGAAUGCUUGGUCUUUUAAUACCCAUGUAUGCCUGACAUAUGCCCCAGAUUUGAUGUGCUUGAGCAGUUUGUUCUGUGCUGGAAAAUAUGGUUGUCCUUUGUAGCACUGAGCAUUGUAGAAUGAGGUGGGAGUUGGCUGUAUAUAACUUGGAGGUUAAGAAGAGAGAAUGUCAAAAUUCUCUAUACAUAGAAGAAAUGAAUCAGUUUCAAGAUAUAGCAAAAUAAAGGAAUGGCUAUAGACUUGUGACACUAGCAGAGAUCCAGAGCCCUACCUAAUUAUAUUCAUAUAUCCAGAUGGGGUAUGUAUGUGACUUUAAUUGUGCACAGGGUCAUCUACCUUGAGGCUUAGGGUCUAAACUUCCUUUAAGAACAAAACACAUUUACCUGAUUCUUUUUUUGUCAAUCGAAAUCAGAGUAUCUAUGGCAGCCAGUUAGCUUAUGUGUGGCUGAGAGAUCCUCAUAGAAUUCAAAUUCCCUUGUUCAACUUCCAAAAUUCUCUUUAAGCAUCUUUAUGUGAGAGGAUUACCUCUCACAUAAAGAUAAAGAAUAGGAAAAAAAAUUCAGUAACUUACUUAAAAUUAUAGUUAUCUGAAAUUUGAAGCAUUUAAAGUUUUUCUAAGUUCUUCCACAAGCUGUCUCUUGAUGUUAAAUACAUGAGUUUUCUUUGUGACUGUUUGAUGCAACACCCUGUGAUCCACUUUCUUAAACUCCCUUCAGAAACAAAUUGAUAACUGAUUCUCUAGUUGCAAAAUAAAGCUGUAGAAAUGGUGCUUUAGGUAAAUGAAGCAUUAUUAUAAGUAAAUGGUUAGUCUAAUAGCACAUUAAAGGCAUAUUAAAUAAGAGAAAAUGGUCCUUAAAGGAACUUCAAGACAGUGGUAAAUGUAAGUCAAAUGUCUCUCAACCAUUCUGUCUGCU
rnacentral:lncRNA from 1 species